rnacentral:rRNA from 1 species
CCUACGGGUGGCAGCAGUGAGGAAUAGUGGUCAAUGGGCGCGAGCCUGAACCAGCCAAGUAGCGUGAAGGAUGACUGCCCUACGGGUUGUAAACUUCUUUUAUAAAGGAAUAAAGUGAGGCACGUGUGCCUUUUUGGAUGUACUUUAUGAAUAAGGAUCGGCGAACGCCGUGCCAGCAGCCGCGGUAAUACGGAGGAUCCGAGCGUUAUCCGGAUUUAUUGGGUUUAAAGGGAGCGUAGAGGGGUUGUUAAGUCAGUUGGGAAAGUUGGCGGCUCAACCGUAAAAUUGCAAUUGAUACUGGCAGCCUUGAGUACAGUUGCGGUCGGCGGUAUUCGUGUUGUAGCG